ensembl:lncRNA
UGAGGCUCUCAGAACAGGUCCUAAUGAAGGAAGCUAGGUUACCUAGAUGCCUGUUCUCUUUCCUGCAAGGUCAAUUUUUCAUCUGGUUUGUGCCUAAUUCUGCCUCUUCGUGAUAAUGAGGCAGGUAUUUAGAAACCACAGAGUAGUCUAAAGAAGCUUCGGGUUGCCCUAACAGAAGUGACACAGGAAGGACUCACCUCGAGGGUAAGAACUCAGUAGUCAGGUAAUAUUGAGUCCUGGGUCACUUAGAGCAGUAUUUUUCUACCUUGGCUGGACAAGCAAUUACACAAAGAGCUUUUAAAACAUACUGAUGCCUGAGAGCCCUCACGCCUAGGUCUAAGCAAAGAUAAUUUUUAAGUUUCCCAGGUGAUUCUAAUUGCAGUAAGUUUUGAGAAUCUCUGAUAGAGGCUUCCAGUGUCUUCUUCAAAACCAAGUGGGAUAACCCCGAAUGACAGCAGUUCUUUCUGCCAGAGUAUUACAGUGCAUGCUCUGCAAAGGAAACCCAGAGGAGUAUCCUCUAGGAGCCAGAGUACUCUGUGGUGGGUGAAGAAGGCGCCAUAGUAUUAGCCAAAAAUUGCUGACUAUGAGAAAAAGUUAGGUAAUCCUGCGUGACACUGAGAUAAACCAUGAAAAGGAAAAAGUUCAAUUGUAUAUUUGAUAUCUGGAGGAUUUGGCCUAAUUCUUUAGUCUUUUAUCUUGUUGCUAACCAUCACCUGAAUACAGCCUAUCACUGUGGCAGAACUGGCCUCAUUUUGAAGAUAUUCAUUCCCUGACCUACUGUUUCUGAGGUCUCCACUCAACCAAACCUUCUGGAAGGUGGGAUGUUUGUCUAAUACCUGUAAGGUUGGAGAAAUCAAAUAUAUGCCUGUAAGAGACCUAAAUAUUUCUAUGAACUUUUUACACAGACCCAGCUCCCUGCCUUGUUAUCACACAAGCCUUCUGUUUACAUUGUGUAAGGUCACUAACUGCUUAACAUCUAGUGGUAACCGGAGAAAAAAGCUACACUGAUUGAUUUUCAGCAAAACUUUUUAAGGUCCCUCUGCUCUUAAAUUUAAAAAUUUUUUCAAUCAUAUAUUCUGGACUUAAUUUUCCUGGUUGGCAUGUUGUUACUCAUCCUCUAUAAAAUGAGCCAUGGAGUUCUAUGUGAAGAAAACAACUGUAAGUAAUAUGCAUCCUUAACCAAAAUGUCCAAGAAUUCCAAUAACCCCCAAAUGCUUUUACAUAGGAGAUGAUAAUGAUGUCCUGAUAAAAUAGGAGUGCUUCAAAAGAUAAUGAGAAAGCCCUUCUUUUCAUUUAUUUAUUUUUUUGAGGAAGAUUAGCCCUGGACUAACAUCUGCCACCCAUCCUCCUCUUUUUGCUGAGGAAGACUGGGCCUGAGCUAACAUCCAUGCCCAUCUUGCUCUACUUUAUAUAUGGGAUGCCUGCCACAGCAUGGCUUGAUAAGCGGUGCAUAGGUCAGCACCGGGAUCCGAACUGGCGAACCCCAGUCUGCCGAAGCAGAACGUGCACACUUAACCACUGUGCCACUAGGCCAGCCCCAAGAAAGCCCUUCUUAAGAAAUCCAUAUGAGGCAAGAAAAAAACUCAC